rnacentral:rRNA from 1 species
UACGAGGGGGGCAAGCGUUGUUCGGAAUUACUGGGCGUAAAGGGCGCGUAGGCGGCUUUUCAAGUCGGGCGUGAAAUCUCCGGGCUUAACCCGGAAGGGUCGUUCGAUACUGUUGAGCUAGAGUGUGGAAGAGGCAACUAGAAUUCCGUGUGUAGCGGUGAAAUGCGUAGAUAUACGGAGGAAUACCUGAGGCGAAGGCGGGUUGCUGGGCCAACACUGACGCUGAGGCGCGAAAGCCAGGGGAGCAAACGGG